UACGGGGGGGGCAAGCGUUGUUCGGAAUUACUGGGCGUAAAGGGCUCGUAGGUGGCCAACUAAGUCAGACGUGAAAUCCCUCGGCUUAACCGGGGAACUGCGUCUGAUACUGGAUGGCUUGAGUUUGGGAGAGGGAUGCGGAAUUCCAGGUGUAGCGGUGAAAUGCGUAGAUAUCUGGAGGAACACCGGUGGCGAAGGCGGCAUUCUGGACCGAUAUUGACGCUGAGGAGCGAAAGCCAGGGGAGCAAACGGG
rnacentral:rRNA from 1 species